rnacentral:rRNA from 1 species
CAGUGUGAUUCGUCACACUAUCAUUAACUGAAUCCAUAGGUUAAUGAGGCGAACCGGGGGAACUGAAACAUCUAAGUACCCCGAGGAAAAGAAAUCAACCGAGAUUCCCCCAGUAGCGGCGAGCGAACGGGGAGGAGCCCAGAGCCUGAAUCAGCAUGUGUGUUAGUGGAAGCGUCUGGAAAGUCGCGCGAUACAGGGUGACAGCCCCGUACACAAAAGCGCAUGUGUUGUGAGCUCGAUGAGUAGGGCGGGACACGUGGUAUCCUGUCUGAAUAUGGGGGGACCAUCCUCCAAGGCUAAAUACUCCUGACUGACCGAUAGUGAACCAGUACCGUGAGGGAAAGGCGAAAAGAACCCCGGCGAGGGGAGUGAAAAAGAACCUGAAACCGUGUACGUACAAGCAGUGGGAGCACCCUUCGGGGUGUGACUGCGUACCUUUUGUAUAAUGGGUCAGCGACUUAUAUUCUGUAGCAAGGUUAACCGAAUAGGGGAGCCGGAGGGAAACCGAGUCUUAAUUGGGCGUUAAGUUGCAGGGUAUAGACCCGAAACCCGGUGAUCUAGCCAUGGGCAGGUUGAAGGUUGGGUAACACUAACUGGAGGACCGAACCGACUAAUGUUGAAAAAUUAGCGGAUGACCUGUGGCUGGGGGUGAAAGGCCAAUCAAACCGGGAGAUAGCUGGUUCUCCCCGAAAGCUAUUUAGGUAGCGCCUCGUGAAUUCAUCUCCGGGGGUAGAGCACUGUUUCGGCUAGGGGGCCAUCCCGGCUUACCAACCCGAUGCAAACUGCGAAUACCGGAGAAUGUUAUCACGGGAGACACACGGCGGGUGCUAACGUCCGUCGUGAAGAGGGAAACAACCCAGACCGCCAGCUAAGGUCCCAAAGUCAUGGUUAAGUGGGAAACGAUGUGGGAAGGCCCAGACAGCCAGGAUGUUGGCUUAGAAGCAGCCAUCAUUUAAAGAAAGCGUAAUAGCUCACUGGUCGAGUCGGCCUGCGCGGAAGAUGUAACGGGGCUAAACCAUGCACCGAAGCUGCGGCAGCGACACUGUGUGUUGUUGGGUAGGGGAGCGUUCUGUAAGCCUGUGAAGGUGUGUCGUGAGGC